rnacentral:rRNA from 1 species
GACGAACGCUGGCGGCGUGCCUAAUACAUGCAAGUCGAGCGGACCAAAGGGAGCUUGCUCCUGGAGGUCAGCGGCGAACGGGUGAGUAACACGUGGGCAACCUGCCUGUAAGACUGGGAUAACAUCGAGAAAUCGGUGCUAAUACCGGAUAAUAAAAAGAACUGCAUGGUUCUUUUUUGAAAGAUGGUUUCGGCUAUCACUUACAGAUGGGCCCGCGGCGCAUUAGCUAGUUGGUGAGGUAACGGCUCACCAAGGCAACGAUGGGUAGCCGACCUGAGAGGGUGAUCGGCCACACUGGGACUGAGACACGGCCCAGACUCCUACGGGAGGCAGCAGUAGGGAAUCUUCCGCAAUAGACGAAAGUCUGACGGAGCAACGCCGCGUGAGUGAUGAAGGUUUUCGGAUCGUAAAACUCUGUUGUUAGGGAAGAACAAGUGCCGUUCGAAAGGGCGGCACCUUGACGGUACCUAACGAGAAAGCCACGGCUAACUACGUGCCAGCAGCCGCGGU